CUCUCUCUGUCUCUCUCUCCAUCAAACAUUGGAAAAGGACCUUUCGUUUCACACACAGAUGAAAUAUUUUAAAAAAAGCAGAAAAAGAAUACUUGCCCACUCUGUUCUGUGUUCUUUGUGAGUGCUUUGCUCCGUAUGCUUCUUGGGUGAGU
rnacentral:lncRNA from 1 species